UUAUCUUUAACGUUGUUUGUACUAUUUGCAUUGAAAAAACGGAAAUACAUAAAUCUGUUACUUCAAGAAAAGGAAUGAAGGUUUUUUGUACGUGUUUUCUUUUGGCAAUUUAUCAUUUUCAAGUGAUAAAUUGUCUUCAAAUAUGUUAUGUGUGCAGUCAUGUGAUAGACUUUGCAUCCUGUCGACAAAAUGUACGAAUUUGUCCACUAGGAGAGAUAUGUUUCACGUCAGAAACCUUCAGCAACAAUGGUUUUCUGGUUUACAACUCAGGAUGUGUGUCUAAGCAGGUA